GGGCUUGCGCCCUCCCUGGAAUCGGGGCUGGGAUCCCGACUGCGGCCUUUGGCCGUGCCGCCCCGCUGCCUGGCUGCUGAGAGUUGCUCCUGCCGCUGGGGGGGAAACCGAGCUCUGUGGCUCCAGGGUGUUGUCCACCCGCCUGUAAUCAGGGUCUGGGUGCGUGAGCGUUUGUGCUCUGCUGGCAGCCUGUGUGGGGUGACCGCCCCGCUAGCGGGUGUGGGUCGAGGUGCCCCGGACUGGGAGAGAAGGAGCCUCCCUCGGCCGUAGGGAUGGGGGCUGCCCUGUAAGUCAGGGAGCAUCUGUGUCCCGGAGUCCCAGGCCCUUUUCAAUGGCGGCAGUGGCCGGGGGUCCCCUGUAAGCAGGGAAGCUGACUCUUUGGCUGCUGCUUUUUGUGUGCCCAGCCCCAUUUGCCCAGUCUGCCCGCCUCUGUGAUCCCCCGCAGCACUGGCUGGAAGUCCGCCGCGCAUCAGUGAGGAGCUGCUUCAGAAGAAAGAAGAAGCGGCGUGGGGACCUGGGCUGCAAAAUCAAGAUGGGGCAUCUGUUGACUGUUUUUCUUGUAUUUCUUUGCCUUUUGGAGCCACAGUUUUGAACGGUUGUGUAAGACUUUAUCACUCUUUUUGUCAGCGUCGUCAGCUGUGAAUAAAGUUUUUUUUCCAUGUUGUU